UACGUAGGGGGCAAGCGUUGUCCGGAUUUAUUGGGCGUAAAGAGCGUGUAGGCGGCCAAGCAGGUCAGCUGUGAAAACUCGAGGCUCAACCUCGAGACGUCGGUUGAAACCGCUUGGCUAGAGUCCGGAAGAGGAGAGUGGAAUUCCCGGUGUAGCGGUGAAAUGCGCAGAUAUCGGGAGGAACACCCAUGGCGAAGGCAGCUACCUGGACCAACACUGACACUGAGGCACGAAAGCGUGGGGAGCAAACAGG
rnacentral:rRNA from 1 species